rnacentral:other from 1 species
UUUCCUGGUUUAUUCGACAGUUAUUACUACUCUCGGGCCGAUAUAAUAAAAUUAGGAGAUUUUGGAAAUUCUUGUUGUGCAUGCCCAAUAAUUGGGAAGCCUGAUAAAUUGACGAAAUCACCGCCUUGGACUACACGGUUCAGGGCAGUAAAUAACAACGGUAAUCUGGGAA